rnacentral:rRNA from 1 species
UACGUAGGGGGCAAGCGUUAUCCGGAUUUACUGGGUGUAAAGGGAGCGUAGACGGCCAUGCAAGCUCGGUGUGAAAGGUGCGGGCACAACCCGCAGACUGCACUGAGAACUGUCGCGCUCGAGUGUCGGAGAGGUAAGUGGAAUUCCUAGUGUAGCGGUGAAAUGCGUAGAUAUUAGGAGGAACACCAGUGGCGAAGGCGGCUUACUGGACGACAACUGACGCUGAGGCUCGAAAGCGUGGGGAGCAAACAGG